GUGCCAGUAUUGUAGGCGUAUCAUGCAAGAUUCCCAUUCUUGUGAUACGGGUUCGAUUCCCGGCUGGCGCA
rnacentral:tRNA from 1 species